rnacentral:lncRNA from 1 species
GCAGUCACCUCAAGACCAACACCAGCAGUCACCUCAAGACCAACACCAGCAGUCACCUCAAGACCAACACCAGCCAUCACCUCAAGUCCAACACCAGCAGUCAUCUCAACGUCAAUGCCAGUGGUCACUUCAUGGUGGAUUAGAUGAGAGUCCAUCCCAGAGUAAGGAGAAUACACCACCAGAAGGCCCUACCAGCAUCCUGCCUGAAGCCCACAUGUAUAACAACAAAGGGAUUCCUUCAUUUCAACUCUGCCUGUACCCCAACAGGCACCUUAAGGACUCCAAGUAUUCCCCUGAUGGCCAUAAGAUGGUCCAUUUUGGUUGUUGCCAGGACUCUGCCAUAUACUGGCUCUGGCCCAUCUUGAGGUCUCCAAAACACCUCCCGUUAAAGAAGAACGAAGUACAUGGGGUCGGCUAGGGCCAACAUGGCACACUCUUGCAUUCUUCCUGAAGGCGGGAUGGAGCUGUCCAACUUGGAGAAUACUGGAAAUGGGAACCAUAUCUUCUGCAAGAAUACUAACAUUACCUGCGAGCCCUUCACGGGUGAGACCCAGAAAGACCUACAUAGGACAUGAACUACAUUCACUCGGCAACAAGUGGCUGAACUGAACAAGCAAUUCUUAGAGAACCCAUAUCCAAGUGCAGUAUCAUUAAAGGAAUAGCUUCAAGACUGAACAUGAACCCCACAGUUGUGAAGGUUUGGUUCAAGAACCAACGAGCGAGAUGUAAGAGACUCAAAUGUGUCACUCACCAGAAACAGGUACACCAGCAGUCACCUCAAGACAAAGACCAGGAACAAAGCCACCAGUUACCCCAAGAACAGCAGCAACACCAGCAAUCACCCCAAGUCCAAGAACAUCAGCAAUCACCCCAAGUCCAAGAACAUCAGCAGAUAUGUCAGCUACAGCUUCAGGAGUUACCUCAACUUCAGUUUCAACAAUCACCUCAAGUCCAAAGUCAGCAGUCACCUCUACUCCAACACUUGCCAUCACAUGGAGUUCAAUACCAGAAGUUCCCUCAAGUCCAACAGCAGCAGUUAUCUCAACUCCAAAAGCAGCCUUCACCUGUAAUCCAACAUCUGCCAU